rnacentral:rRNA from 1 species
CGAAUGGGUGCGUAACACGUGGGAAUUUACCCGGAAGUGGGGGAUAGCUCGUCGAAAGGCGAAUUAAUACCGCAUGUGCCCGUGAGGGCAAAGUGGGGGACCGCAAGGCCUCACGCUACCGGAGGAGCCCGCGUCCUAUCAGCUAGUUGGCGGGGUAACGGCCCACCAAGGCUAAGACGGGUAGCUGGUCUGAGAGGACGACCAGCCACACUGGAACUGAGACACGGUCCAGACACCUACGGGUGGCAGCAGUCGAGGAUUUUUCUCAAUGGGGGCAACCCUGAAGGAGCGACGCCGCGUGGAGGAUGAAGGGCUUCGGCUUGUAAACUCCUGUCACCGACGAACAAGGCAUCCGGUUGAACAUUCCGGAUGAUUGAUGGUAGUCGGAGAGGAAGGGGCGGUAACUCUGUGCCAGCAGCCGCGGUGAUACAGAGGCCCCGAGCGUUGUUCGGAUUUACUGGGCGUAAAGGGUGUGUAGGGGGUCGGGUAGUUUGACGUGAAAGCCCGCUGCUUAACAGCGGAACGGCGUCGAAUACUGCCCGGCUGGAGGUUCGGAGAUGAGAGCGGAAUUCUCGGUGUAGCGGUGAAAUGCGUAGAUAUCGAGAGGAACGCCGACGGCGAAAGCAGCUCUCAAGACGGCACUGACCCUGAGACACGAAGGCCAGGAGCAAACGGGAUUAGAUACCCCGGUAGUCCUGGCAGUAAACGGUGCUCAUUAGACGUGGGCGGAUUCGACCCCGCCCGUGUCGAACCUAACGGAUUAAAUGAGCCGCCUGGGAAGUACGGUCGCAAGAUUAAAACUCAAAGAAAUUGACGGGGGCCCGCACAAGCGGUGGAGUAUGUGGCUUAAUUCGAUGCAACGCGAAGAACCUUACCUGGCCUUGACAUGCUGAGUUCAGGCGUGGAAACACGCUGGCCCGCAAGGGCGAUCUGCACAGGUGCUGCAUGGCUGUCGUCAGCUCAUGUCGUGAGAUGUUGGGUUAAGUCCCGCAACGAGCGCAACCUCGUGACUAGUUAAUCCCGGGCAACCGGAUUCUGGUCAGACUGCCCUGUGAAACGGGGAGGAAGGUGGGGACGACGUCAAGUCCGUAUGGCCCUUACGGCCAGGGCUGCACACGUACUACAAUGCUCACUACA